ACCGCACGCCGUAUGAGUAUUUGUUGGAGGUAUUUGAGGUUACCCUUCACGUCAUGCAAACAGGAAUGAAAUACUGAAUCUUCAUUUUUACCAUUUCGAAGAGACCAUGGAAAGUAAGGCGGUUAAUGGUUCCGAGAGCGAUGCACAGGGAUUUGGACACUGCCGUCCUUUAAUCUCAAGCAUAAUGGAAGAUCGUCAAAAAUAAACCUACAAGAUGGGUUUACAUAUUUUGAGGUUGGUUGUAUAUGAAUCCUACAUCAUCAUGCCUGAUACAUUCUACAGCUCUAAACAUGCCCAAAAACUUUUCUCUUAAGGCCAUUUAUGUGGGUGGGGCAAAUCAAAUGCCUUAAUUUUGAAAGGCGCGAGCAACGGCUGUGGUGGUGAUGGUAAGAUGUGUGUGGUCUCGUUGUGACCACCAAACCCCGCCGUUUUCAGUAGCAGCCAUGCCUUGGUCGGGUGAACAUCGCGGCUUUGCAGUGCGCACAUUUCUCGGAAAUGGCCGUUCUGUCGUCGCCACCAAGUGCGCCUGAUGGCAAAGCAAUCAGGAGUUGGGUUGAAGCAUUGGAAGAAACUGGUUCCUCAAGAAGACCUAGGGGUAGUCAUGGAGAAAGUGUUCAGAAGUCAGCCACACAAUUUGGAAGAAUUGAAGAUGUGAAUUUGGGAGGAUAUUGCUGCAAUACCCUUGAGAUGUGCCGAAGAGCAGCCGAAAACUUCAGAUAACGUCUUCAACAGUGCAUCGCUACAGAUGGCCACCAUAUCUUCCUGAUGCCAUUUUCAAAAAGUGAUCACUCAA